GGUUAAGUGACUAAGCGUACAGGGCGGAUGCCUUGGCAAUCAGAGGCGAUGAAGGACGUGCUAAUCUGCGAAAAGCUUGGAUGAGUCGAUAAGAGGCGUUUAAUCCAAGAUAUCCGAAUGGGGAAACCCAGUAGAUGAAGAAUCUACUAUCAAUAAAUGAAUACAUAGUUUAUUGAGGCGAACCGGGAGAACUGAAACAUCUAAGUACCCCGAGGAAAAGAAAUCAACCGAGAUUCUGUGAGUAGCGGCGAGCGAAAGCGGAAGAGCCAGUAAGUUUUAGCUAGCAUAUUAGAGGAAUUGGCUGGGAAGCCAAAUCAAAGAGGGUGAUAAUCCCGUACUCGAAAGUAUGUUAGUGGAACUAAGCUUACGAUAAGUAAGGCGGGACACGAGAAAUCCUGUUUGAAGAUGGGGGGACCAUCCUCCAAGGCUAAAUACUCCUGAUUGACCGAUAGUGAACCAGUACUGUGAAGGAAAGGCGAAAAGAACCCCGGUGAGGGGAGUGAAAUAGAACCUGAAACCCUGUACGUACAAGCAGUAGGAGCGAGGGCAACCUUGUGACUGCGUACCUUUUGUAUAAUGGGUCAGCGACUUAUAUUUUGUAGCGAGGUUAACUGAAUAAGGGAGCCGAAGGGAAACCGAGUCUUAACUGGGCGUUGAGUUGCAAGGUAUAGACCCGAAACCCGGUGAUCUAGCCAUGGGCAGGUUGAAGGUUGGGUAACACUAACUGGAGGACCGAACCGACUAAUGUUGAAAAAUUAGCGGAUGACUUGUGGCUGGGGGUGAAAGGCCAAUCAAACCGGGAGAUAGCUGGUUCUCCCCGAAAUCUAUUUAGGUAGAGCCUUGAGCGGACACCUUCGGGGGUAGAGCACUGUUUCGGCUAGGGGUCCAUCCCGGAUUACCAACCCGAUGCAAACUGCGAAUACCGAAGAGUGAUACUCAGGAGACACACGGCGGGUGCUAACGUUCGUCGUGGAGAGGGAAACAACCCAGACCGCCAGCUAAGGUCCCAAAGUCUAUAUUAAGUGGGAAACGAAGUGGGAAGGCUUAGACAGCUAGGAUGUUGGCUUAGAAGCAGCCAUCAUUUAAAGAAAGCGUAAUAGCUCACUAGUCGAGUCGGCCUGCGCGGAAGAUGUAACGGGGCUCAAAUAUAGCACCGAAGCUGCGGCAUCAGAAUUUAUUCUGUUGGGUAGGGGAGCGUUGUGUAAGCGGAUGAAGGUGGCUCGAGAGGGUUGCUGGACGUAUCACAAGUGCGAAUGCUGACAUAAGUAACGAUAAAACGAGUGAAAAACUCGUUCGCCGGAAGACCAAGGGUUCCUGUCCAACGUUAAUCGGGGCAGGGUGAGUCGGCCCCUAAGGCGAGGCUGAAAAGCGUAGUCGAUGGGAAACGGGUUAAUAUUCCCGUACUUGGAUAAACUGCGAUGUGGGGACGGAGAAGGUUAGGUUAGCAGACUGUUGGAUGUCUGUUUAAGGUGGUAGGUGGAAGACUUAGGCAAAUCCGGGUCUUUAUAAACACUGAGAGCUGAUGACGAGGUCUUAAGGGACUGAAGUAACUGAUACCCUGCUUCCAGGAAAAGCCACUAAGCUUCAGGUUUAUCUAAACCGUACUGAAAACCGACACAGGUGGUCAGGUAGAGAAUACUCAGGCGCUUGAGAGAACUCGGGUGAAGGAACUAGGCAAAAUAGCACCGUAACUUCGGGAGAAGGUGCGCUUACAGUAAUUGUAGUCCCUUGCGGAUGAAGGUGAAGUAAGUCGAAGAUACCAGCUGGCUGCAACUGUUUAUUAAAAACACAGCACUCUGCAAACACGAAAGUGGACGUAUAGGGUGUGAUGCCUGCCCGGUGCUGGAAGGUUAAUUGAUGGUGUUAUCGAAAGAGAAGCUCCUGAUCGAAGCCCCAGUAAACGGCGGCCGUAACUAUAACGGUCCUAAGGUAGCGAAAUUCCUUGUCGGGUAAGUUCCGACCUGCACGAAUGGCAUA
rnacentral:rRNA from 1 species